ensembl:lncRNA
AGGUGUGGUUCUCACCGUGUAAGUAGCUGUAAACAUCGUGCUGUGUGUCCUUCUGCAGCUUGCUUUGUUUACCCAGCCAUGCUCAAGGCGCCUGUGUAGCCCACGGUGUAGUCCUUAAGCUUGAAAACCGGGUACAGAACUAUGGUCAUGGUACAGCUGCCCCUGUAUCCUCUGGUUCUGUAUCCCUGGAUUCAACCAAGCAUGUAUUGAAAAAUAUUAAAAAAUUAAAAAACCCAGAAAGUUCCAAAAAGCAGAACUUGAAUUUGCCCCCGGCAACUAUUUACAGAGCAUUUCCAUUGCAUUUAGGUAUUGUAAGUAAGCCAAGGAUGAUUUCAAGUUUAUGGGAGAAUUGCAGUGGGUUGUAUGGAAACACUAGCCUUUUUAUUGGCGGAACUUGAGCCUUUGCGUGGAUUUUGGUAUCUGAAGAGGGUCCUGGAACCAUGGGAAGCAUGACCCUGAGCCUGGGACCUUCUCCCCUAAGAGAUUCACACAGCGUGCUCCUUGCACCUAACCCCCCUCUCUCCCUGCCACCCCUCAGCCCACCCAACACCGUUCCCCUGCCCAACUGACAUUUCUUUGUAUCACUACGUAUUUUACUUAUUUAUGUUCAUUGCGUGCCUCCCCCCACCCCCAACCAGAAUAUCAGAUUCAUGGGGACAGGACUCUGUUUUGUUCACUGUGGACCCCCACCUCUUAGAACAGUGCUAGACACAUAAUAGCUGCUCACUAAACAGUUAAAUUCAGGAAGCAUUGAAAAUAAAACGUAAACUUACAAAGGAGAGUUCUCCAUCCAUCUUUAGCACUUCAUUUAGUGGAUGUGGUUUUGUUCAAAAUGAUUUAACGUUGCAUUAUAGCUAGUUAUAACCUUAAGACAUGGGGCUCCCUGAUGAGAAAUGCUUGUCUGUGUGGCCUGAGGGUCUUGCUGGGAUGCGCAGGAGGUGGUGUGUGUGCCAGGUCAAAACCUGCCUUCGCUGAGCGCUGAGUUCAGCCGUGCUUCCCAGGGUGACAGGUUCCAAUCAUUUUCAAUUAAUUAGGACCUGGGAUUCUUCAUGCUCAUUAGAGUGUAGUUGACCUUUCCCCCGCCCCCAGAAUUAACACUUCACAGUGUCAGCACCUUCCCAGACAUGGGAUGUGGCCGGCCCUCUUCUUGCCUUUCCAUUUUUAGCACCGUCUAAGGUAAACAGGUGUGUUUUUUUUUUUUUUCUUUCCUCACCAAUGAAUAUUCCAUUUUCUUGUAAUUUGGAAAAUAAUGUGUGCGCUUCUAAUUUUCACUCUCUGUAUUCAGUGCUGAGAAAAUCAAAGUAUGGUUGGUUUUCAAUCCUGAGCUCUUUCAGUAAACAUCAAGGAGAUAAGUGAGGUUUUGAUUAGGUGUGCAUUCUAAUCAAAGACAAAUGAAUGAUAAUUUUUCACUCGGGCUCCUCUAGAAAAUUAUCCUGAUGUAUAAGGGUAGACAGUGGGUUAUCCUCCUGGCCAAAUCAUUUAUAACUUGGUUUUGAAGAAUUUCUUAUCCAUAAGAAAAUUUUCAUGGCUGCUCUUUUCUGUUUCUUGUUUGUUUUUUGUCUUGUUUUUAUUAAAGUACGGUUGAUUUACAAUGCUGUGCCAAUUUCAGCUGUACAGCACAGUGACCCAGAGACACGCGCGUACACACACACACACACUCUGUACUGUAGGACCACAUUGCUUAUCCAUUCUUAAUGUCUGUUUCUUUAUAGAAAAUUAAACUUUUCUCUGAAUCUGAGUAUCAUGUCUUAACUUCAGGAGGGUGGAGAUCUGGAAUUUCUCUUUAGCUCCAGGUAGUCAGGAAGCACUGGUGAAAAUGAAUAGUCUCUCUUCAUUGAUGAAGUUGUUUUUAGUUAUGCUUUCUUCUCGGUGUCAGUGGUGACUUGUUCUUGGAUGAGCCUUUGGGAUCAGUGUUAAGAGUUGAAUGUGUCUGGUUGGCAAAGGGUGUUGAUUGAGCGGUAAAGAAGGUAUCCACUUAGAUUUUCUCUAAUAACUGAAGAUCCCGGAGGCCUGAGGUGCCAUCGUCUUUCCUUGUAAAUUGCUCCAGUGCGUGACCUGCACCAAUAGUUCUGACCAAGAUGUGCAGGCGCCCCACCUUUUGGGAUCCAUCUAUCUGUAGCUUCUCUGGUUUUAGGAGGUCUGAUAACAACCAUUAUUCAAUUUGAAGCCAUUAUUGCUCAGCCUAGCCAGUCAGGAUUCUGUCUCAGGCCCAGAUCAGCAGAUUUGAUGUUCUAAAGCUCCUUUUGAAGAGUCUGUAAUGACGGAAAUAAUUGUUUUUAUGGCUUUCUAGUGAAAUGGAAUUGCCCGAUGCAGUCUUGUUUCUUGGCGUUCUUUUAUCUGCUUCUGAAAAGAGGAUGAGGUGGAAAAAUAUUUCAGUGAAAUAUCAGCAGCAUUACCAUCCUCAUAAACGUUAAAUGUUCAUUAGGGAGUUCCUGUUGUGGUUCAGCGGGUUAUAAACCCACCCAGUAGCCAUGAGGACAUAGGUUUGAUCCCUGGCCUUGCUCAGUGGAUUAGGAUGUGGCGUUGCCAUGAGCUGUAGUGUACGUCGCAGAUGUGGCUCUGAUCUGGUGUUGCUGUGGCUGUGGUGUAGGCCAGCAGCUGCAGCUCUGAUCCGACCCCUAGCCUGGAAACUUACAUAUACCUCGGGUGUGACCCUAUGUGCACUGACUGUUUCUCCUAUAGAAGGUAUCCUCUUCAAAGAUGUAUGAAGGACCACGUACUGACUUUAAUGCAUCGGCCUGAUAAAGGAAAGAUGACUGAGUGGAAUUGAGGCUGUCUAUCAGGUGAGGGAUUCUGUGAUAACAGAGGAGCUAGGAGGCCUGUGCCUUCUGAGAUCAUUCUCCUGGGAGUUCCCACUGUGGCUCAGUAUGAACCUGACUACUUUCCAUGAGGACGCAGGUUUGAUCCCUGGCCUUGCUCAGUGGGUUAAGGAUCCGGCGUUGCCACGAACUGUGGUGUAGGUCGAAGAUAUGGCUCAGAUCUAGUGUUGCUGUGGCUGUGGUAGCUCCAGCAGCAGCUGUAGCUCGGAUUAGAUCCCUAGCCUGGGAGCCUUCAUAUGCUG